UUUCAGGGUUUACAGACAGAGGGAAUUAUUGAACAGAGAAACAAUAUUGCUGUGCCAUAUUAUUCAAAAUGUAUGCGUCUGCACUAUGCAGACUGGCAGAAGUCCGGUAUUCGAGUGAACCAGAGCAGAGUAAAUUGUAGCAGACCAGCAAAAACGUGUUUUAUUCCACUUAAAAUUAUUCCAGUAUUAGACAUCAAUAGAAUUAUUAGUAUAUUUAAUUGGGUGGUGGUUUUAAAAUUGACUAAUGCUGUAUGUCUGUUGUUUUCUAUAAGGGCCGUUGUUAUGCAUACCAUAACAAAAAAGGCAGGAAUACUGAGGCAGCUAUGACGUGGAUGUCUACAACUUCUUUAAGAUGCAGGCCCCAAAGACGUCCCAGUGUGAUGCAAAGGCUGUCCAGCAGGCUCACAGACAUCUCCUGUCAACUGAAAGAGAAGCCUUUAA